AGGCCAGUCUAGGAUCAAACUAGAUAGGCACGAUGAAACAAAGCUUGUCCCUAUGAGGAUAUAAUUCAAUGGGGAAUUCCAUCCCAAUAUAUGUGUUGGGAGGAGACAGAAACAACCAUCAUUCACGAGGAUAUAACUCGGUGGGGAAUAUGGAAGGAAGGAUAAACACUUUUCUGCUUAAGGGCUGACUCUAUAUGGAGGGAUCAGACACAGUCAUCUGCUUGGGGAAAUGUA
rnacentral:lncRNA from 1 species